UACGGGGGGGGCAAGCGUUGUUCGGAAUUACUGGGCGUAAAGGGGUAGUAGGCGGCCAACUAAGUCCGACGUGAAAUCUCGAGGCUCAACUUCGAGCUGUCGGUGGAAACUAUCUGGCUAGAGUCCGGAAGAGGAGAAUGGAAUUCCUGGUGUAGCGGUGAAAUGCGCAGAUAUCAGGAAGAACACCCGUGGCGAAGGCGGUUCUCUGGGACGGUACUGACGCUGAGGCGCGAAAGCUAGGGGAGCGAAUGGG
rnacentral:rRNA from 1 species